GCGCCAAUAGCUCAGUUGGAUAGAGCAACGGCCUUCUAAGCCGUGUGUCGCAGGUUCGACUCCUGCUUGGCGCACCA
rnacentral:tRNA from 1 species